GUCUCUUCAUUUCCUUUGUUGCAACUCCCUCUCUCAGCGAAGAAAAAAUUCUAAACUUGAUCUCGACAUCUUUAGCUUCCAAAUAUAAAUCUGAAAAUUAAACAAACACUUGAUUCAGUUCAGUAAUAAGCCUAUAUCAUCAUCGUCGGUACUUUUUCCUGAAGAUUCACUUGAAAUUGAGGAGAAAAGUUGAUGAUAUUUGAUUUCAUCAAAUUAAUUUGAGGAUUUCAUCAAAUUAAUUUGAGGAUUUCAUCAUUAAAAUCGAUUUGAAAUCCAAAAGAGCAUCAGUAGCUGCUCGUUUGAUUCAUAAGUAUAUUCGUGGUUGGAUAAUACGACGUUUAUAUUUGCAGCUUGUUGAGCUGUUCUUCUUCUAGAAUCCAUCACCUGGAGUUUGUCUAAUUGUAACUGUUUGCUACACAAAAGGAACAUAGAGUUGCUUCGCGGAUCCAAAUAAGUGUUGAUUAUUGAGCGGAUUUCUUUUGUUCCUUUUAGUUUAGGUUGCUCUUGAGAGGAAUAAAAAAUGAGAGAAAAUGCUCCUGAAAGACUGGUAUUGGGGUCUGAUGAUAUCACCAUGUUGCUUUGGGAAAUUGCUGUCAUCAAACAUUUCUUGGUCUACUUAUUGAGAGAAAAUUCAUAAAAGCUAAUGGAAGCUGAUUUUUUCUGUACAGCUUCACUGUCUUUUUAGCUUUGUCCCACUAUGUUCGUGAUGCAAUCUACUGGCUCAAGGUUCAUUGCUUGUUCUGCUAGGUAUGGUCUUAUAUGUUAUACUCAAUUAUCAACAGUUUAAUUAGGCGGUGAAGACUUGCUUAGAAAUGUGUAGUAGCUGGUGUUCGUUGAAUUGCAGUCUUCAUUGAUGUACUUAUACAGAGUCAAAAAAACAUGGGUGAGAAGAAAAAUAGCGGACGCAGGUUAGUAAAGUUCAAUUCUUCAUUUCUAAAUGUUGGGUUUUUUUAUUGAGCCACUAUUGGUGUUUGGAAAGCUUCUCUUCUUAUCAUUGGUAUGCAUGCAUUUCUUUGGAAUUAUUACACACAAAAUACAAUACGGUCCAACAUGUUUAAAAUAUAAAGUUUGAGGGAAUAAACUGAAGUUACACACUAUUACAGAUAAUCAAUAAAGUUUUGAGGUUGCGGCAA